CCGCGUGAGUGAUGAAGGCUUUCGGGUCGUAAAACUCUGUUGUUAGGGAGAACAAGUGCUAGUUGAAUAAGCUGGCACCUUGACGGUACCUAACCAGAAAGCCACGGCUAACUACGUGCCAGCAGCCGCGGUAAUACGUAGGUGGCAAGCGUUAUCCGGAAUUAUUGGGCGUAAAGCGCGCGCAGGUGGUUUCUUAAGUCUGAUGUGAAAGCCCACGGCUCAACCGUGGAGGGUCAUUGGAAACUGGGAGACUUGAGUGCAGAAGAGGAAAGUGGAAUUCCAUGUGUAGCGGUGAAAUGCGUAGAGAUAUGGAGGAACACCAGUGGCGAAGGCGACUUUCUGGUCUGUAACUGACACUGAGGCGCGAAAGCGUGGGGAGCAAACAGGAUUAGAUACCCUGGUAGUCCACGCCGUAAACGAUGAGUGCUAAGUGUUAGAGGGUUUCCGCCCUUUAGUGCUGAAGUUAACGCAUUAAGCACUCCGCCUGGGGAGUACGGCCGCAAGGCUG
rnacentral:rRNA from 1 species